rnacentral:rRNA from 1 species
GUCGAGAAUCUUUCACAAUGGGGGCAACCCUGAUGGAGCGACGCCGCGUGGAGGAUAAGGUCUUCGGAUUGUAAACUCCUGUCAUGCGUGAACAAGGUUGCUUGGUUAAUACCUGGGCAAAUUGAUGGUAACGCAAGAGGAAGAGACGGCUAACUCUGUGCCAGCAGCCGCGGUAAUACAGAGGUCUCAAGCGUUGUUCGGAAUCACUGGGCGUAAAGGGUGCGUAGGUGGCGUGGUAAGUCAGAUGUGAAAGCCCGGGGCUCAACCUCGGGACUGCAUCCAAUACUGCCAUGCUAGAGUACUGGAGAGGUGACUAGAAUUCUCGGUGUAGCAGUGAAAUGCGUAGAUAUCGAGAGGAAUACCAAAGGCGUAGGCAGGUCACUGGACAGUUACUGACACUGAGGCACGAAGGCCAGGGGAGCGAACGGGAUUAGAAACCCGUGUAGUCC